rnacentral:lncRNA from 1 species
UUUGAAAAGAAGGGAAAUAUUAGAUCUAGGUAUAUUGGACCUUUUGGGAUUAUUUGGACUAUUAGGGAUGUGGCUUACGUGUUAGUAUUAUCGAAGAUUUAUCGGCUGUUCAUCUAAUUUUUCAUAUUUUUAUGCUUAUGAAUUACAUUUUGAAUAAGUCUCACGUCAUUCAUUAGGAUUCAGUUCAGUUAGAUAAGCAGUUUUCUUCUAUUGGGGACCCCGU